UACGUAGGUGGCAAGCGUUGUCCGGAUUUACUGGGCGUAAAGAGCGCGCAGGCGGUCGUUCAAGUCGCGUGUGAAAGCCCCCGGCUCAACUGGGGAGGGUCACGCGAUACUGAUCGACUCGAAGGCAGGAGAGGGAAGUGGAAUUCCCGGUGUAGUGGUGAAAUGCGUAGAGAUCGUAAGGAAGACCAGUGGCGAAGGCGGGUCUCUGGACAGUUCCUGACACUGAGGCACGAAGGCCAGGGGAGCAAACGGG
rnacentral:rRNA from 1 species